CAUGCAAGUCGAGGGGCAGCAUGGUCUUAGCUUGCUAAGGCUGAUGGCGACCGGCGCACGGGUGAGUAACACGUAUCCAACCUGCCGUCUACUCUUGGCCAGCCUUCUGAAAGGAAGAUUAAUCCAGGAUGGGAUCAUGAGUUCACAUGUCCGCAUGAUUAAAGGUAUUUUCCGGUAGACGAUGGGGAUGCGUUCCAUUAGAUAGUAGGCGGGGUAACGGCCCACCUAGUCAACGAUGGAUAGGGGUUCUGAGAGGAAGGUCCCCCACAUUGGAACUGAGACACGGUCCAAACUCCUACGGGAGGCAGCAGUGAGGAAUAUUGGUCAAUGGGCGAUGGCCUGAACCAGCCAAGUAGCGUGAAGGAUGACUGCCCUAUGGGUUGUAAACUUCUUUUAUAAAGGAAUAAAGUCGGGUAUGCAUACCCGUUUGCAUGUACUUUAUGAAUAAGGAUCGGCUAACUCCGUGCCAGCAGCCGCGGUAAUACGGAGGAUCCGAGCGUUAUCCGGAUUUAUUGGGUUUAAAGGGAGCGUAGAUGGAUGUUUAAGUCAGUUGUGAAAGUUUGCGGCUCAACCGUAAAAUUGCAGUUGAUACUGGAUGUCUUGAGUGCAGUUGAGGCAGGCGGAAUUCGUGGUGUAGCGGUGAAAUGCUUAGAUAUCACGAAGAACUCCGAUUGCGAAGGCAGCCUGCUAAGCUGCAACUGACAUUGAGGCUCGAAAGUGUGGGUAUCAAACAGG
rnacentral:rRNA from 1 species